ACACACACACGACUGUCUUGACAAGGAGAGGAAAAGAAGAAGAUAUGGGUCUGGAUGCCUCUUCAGUCCACUGGCAUGUAGCAGAUGGUUGCCCAGUUUGUGGUCUCCUCUCCUCACACUCUCAUCUCCCUAUCAAAUCAUGGCACCCCGGUCACAUGACCUCAAACAGCGUCAUGUGAUCUGGAGCAGUCUGUCCCUUUCUCAUUAAGAAAUAUUUACUGAUUCUAAACAGUGUCCAGUGGUUUAACAACCAGUUGACUUUUCUUCACUCGC
ensembl:lncRNA